rnacentral:rRNA from 1 species
ACUCCUACGGGAGGCAGCAGUGGGGAAUAUUGCACAAUGGGGGAAACCCUGAUGCAGCCAUGCCGCGUGUGUGAAGAAGGCCUUGGGUUGUAAAGCACUUUCAGUAGGGAGGAAGGUAGUGUAGUUAACACCUGCAUUAUUUGUACGUUACCUACAGAAGAAGCACCGGCUAACUCCGUGCCAGCAGCCGCGGUAAUACGGAGGGUGCGAGCGUUAAUCGGAAUUACUGGGCGUAAAGCGCAUGCAGGCGGCCUGUUAAGUCAGAUGUGAAAGCCCGGGGCUUAACCUCGGAAUUGCAUUUGAAACUGGCAGGCUAGAGUCUUGUAGAGGGGUUAGAAUUUCAGGUGUAGCGGUGAAAUGCGUAGAGAUCUGAAGGAAUACCGAGUGGCGAAGGCGGCCCCUGGAC